rnacentral:rRNA from 1 species
UGGCGACCGGCGCACGGGUGCGUAACGCGUAUGCAACCUACCUUUAACAGGGGGAUAACACUGAGAAAUUGGUACUAAUACCCCAUAAUAUCAUAGAAGGCAUCUUUUAUGGUUGAAAAUUCCGAUGGUUAGAGAUGGGCAUGCGUUGUAUUAGCUAGUUGGUGGGGUAACGGCUCACCAAGGCGACGAUGGAUAGGGGUUCUGAGAGGAAGGUCCCCCACAUUGGAACUGAGACACGGUCCAA